rnacentral:rRNA from 1 species
GCGGCGGACGGGUGAGUAAUGCCUGGGAAUAUGCCUUGAAUGUGGGGGAUAACCAUUGGAAACGAUGGCUAAUACCGCAUAAUGCCUACGGGCCAAAGAGGGGGAUCUUCGGACCUCUCGCCGUCAAGAUUAGCCCAGGUGGGAUUAGCUAGUUGGUGAGGUAAUGGCUCACCAAGGCGACGAUCCCUAGCUGGUCUGAGAGGAUGAUCAGCCACACUGGAACUGAGACACGGUCCAGACUCCUACGGGAGGCAGCAGUGGGGAAUAUUGCACAAUGGGCGCAAGCCUGAUGCAGCCAUGCCGCGUGUGUGAAGAAGGCCUUCGGGUUGUAAAGCACUUUCAGUCGUGAGGAAGGUAGUUGCGUUAAUAGCGUAAUUAUUU